UUAAAUACACAGUGUUGAUGCUGUUUUAACACUGUCUGGUAAUAAAAUAACACUGCCAUUGCUAGGCCAGUGUUAUAUCCACGACAGUGUCAGUGUAAAACAAGGGUGUUACCAGAUUUCACUCUGAGCGGUGUAAAUCAAGCCACGCCUCCACUAAACAUUUCCUGUCAGGGAUUUUACCGCCAUUUUCUUUCAAAGGAGGACUGAAGAGAGCAGAUGCUAGUUUGGUUAAAGUACACACUGAGUGCUUCAAAUCAUUCAGAAGAGAUGCUGUUUUUAGGGCAGUUUAUUAAAGAAGACCUGACAUGGAUGACUUCCAAUGAGAAACGACUGCUAAUACUUAUAUAAAUUCAUUACAGAAGGACCCUACCAGACUAUAUUUGAAUACGGCAUACCCGUGAAUUCUGGAACUGUUAUUCCUUAACCCAGUUUGGAGGAUAAGAGCUUACUAUGUGAGUACACACAGUACUUUAGUACUGUACACUGUCUCUAACAUGAUUAUACUGAGAUGAUUUUGAUUCAAAUAACGGUUAAAACUGCAUCCUUUUUGGUAUUUUCUUGACCCUUUUUGUCUUUGAAAAUCUGCAGAUAUAUGCUGAGGCGAUGUAUUGCAAAAUAGCCAACAUACAACAAUUAAAGGAUAAUUGCAGCCUAUAUCCUGAUGAAGAUAUGGAUGACCCUCUGUCUGGUCAACAGGAGUUUAAAUAUGGAUGGGACAGUGAUGUGGCAGCUCUUCCCUGGCUCAUUCACCUCUUGCCUUCAUUUGUGAAAGGAGGAAAGACUGGAGAGGGUCAAUGUGCAACUGAAGCUACUGAUUGUGCUGUGUGAUGAGCAUCAAUCCAUGCUUUGAGGUGGAUGGAUCAGCACAGCCCUGCCUGCUCUGCGUUGGGAACAAAAGUUGCAUCCAGAAUUUUUGCAUCAUUCUGGACCAAAAAGCCAUUCCCUCCAUGAUGAAGACCACUGAUGCAGCCUUCCACUACUGUACAGUAAAACAACUACAGAACUAAAUACCAGGUUGGAACGUGUUUAAGAAAAAUGAAACGUCUUUUGAAUUGAAAUGUCUGUUUUGUUAUGGAAAAAUCUUUAGUAUUGUGAAGGAUAAGCAUUUCUGCUUGCCGAUAAGGUAAUUGCAUGUAUUUUAAUGUUCAAGUUUUGAGUAGGGUGGCUAAUUUUUUUAACUCUUAUUUGAUUUAUUAAAGACCUUUAUAAUAAGUGGUUUUCAUGUCACUGCGCUGUGGUAUAAGAUAACUUUCAUUAUUCCAUAUUGUAUUCUGUUUCUAAUUGUAGCUGAGGUAUUUAAAUAAGCAGUGUUAAAUGCAAAGUGUUGUGUGUAUCAAUGUAAAUAUUAAAUGUGAUUUACUUUAAUAAAAAGAGGUUUUGCAAUA